rnacentral:rRNA from 1 species
GACUAACGCUGGCGGCGUGCCUAACACAUGCAAGUCGAACGAAGCAGCAAUGCUUAGUGGCAGACGGGUGAGUAACGCGUAGAUAAUGUGCCCUCUUGCGGGGGAUACCGUUUCGAAGGAACGUUAAUACCGCAUAAAGUCCUUAGAAGGCAUCUUUUAGGGUACCAAACUUCCGGGGCGGGAGGAGCAAUCUGCGUACUAUCAGCUAGUUGGUGAGGUAAUGGCUCACCAAGGCUACGACGGUUAACUGGUCUGAGAGGAUGAUCAGUCACACUGGAACUGAGACACGGUCCAGACUCCUACGGGAGGCAGCAGUGAGGAAUAUUGCACAAUGGGCGAAAGCCUGAUGCAGCGACGCCGCGUGGAGGAUGAAGGAUUUCGGUCUGUAAACUCCUGUCAGUAGGGAAGAGAAUGGACGGUACCUACUGAGGAAGCUUCGGCUAACUACGUGCCAGCAGCCGCGGUAAGUCGUGUGACA